UGCACCGUUUACUUACCUUUCAUGUAUUAUAAUUUUUGUACGUACGUACUGAUCAUGAUCUCCUUGCCUAGCUAGCUAGCUAGGAUUAUUAUAUUUAUAAAUGCUUGCAUGCAUUGCGCAACAUAUAUGACACCCGUUUUCCUCCAACCACCUUCAUAUUUCAGAAGUAGUACUGACCCAUAUAUAACCCUCCAUCUACAACUACUGAUCAAACUGCAAAAUACAGAGGAAAAAAAAAAAAAAAACCAAGAAGAAGAAAGGGAUCGAUGUCAGCAGUACCACUCCAUCGAUCUUCAAUCUCUUUUCGUUUUUGUAUUUGAGAAAGGUGAUGCCAGUGGAAGUCGUGGGUUUUCAAGGUGAUAGAUGUAGCAGUAGCAGUAGCAGUACUAGUGCUUGCAUGUGAUCGGAAGUGUGCAAGAUAACAUACGGCCAAUUAAUCAUGCACGCCAAAAUCAGCCACCUACUUUUGAACGGUGUAUGUGCUGGAUCGAAGCUACGUACGUACACAUGAUGAUGCAUAUAUGUUUUAUAUAUUGUGGGGGAACAUACUCUUUUAAAUAAGGGAUUAGAAGACAAUUAAAUCAAGCAUAGUUAGAAUCUCCAUAUUAAUUUAUA